rnacentral:rRNA from 1 species
UACAUAGGGGUCAAGCGUUGUCCGGAUUUAUUGGGCGUAAAGAGUACGUAGGCGGCUUUACAAGUCGGGUGUGAAAGCCCUGAGCUUAACUCAGGAACUGCAUUCGAUACUGCUGAGCUAGAGUAUGGAAGAGGGAAGUGGAAUUCCGGGUGUAGCGGUGAAAUGCGUAGAUAUCCGGAGGAACAUCAGUGGCGAAGGCGGCCACCUGGACAAAUACUGACGCUGAGGCACGAAAGCGUGGGGAGCGAACAGG